rnacentral:rRNA from 1 species
UAGCAUGAACUCAGACAAGUGA